CUAGGAGGAGGAGAAAGAGACACACAAAGGCACUGGGGGCAUAGAGACAUACAGAGGCACUGAGCAUCUGUGUAUAUCUAUCCCCUCAGUGCCUCUGUGUGUCUCUUUCUUCUCCUGCUAGU